rnacentral:rRNA from 1 species
UNAAACUGCUUGGGAAACUGAUAAUNUAGAGUAAGGGAGAGGCAGAUGGAAUUCUUGGUGUAGGGNUAAAAUCCGUAGAUAUCAAGAAGAAUACCUAUUGCGAAGGCGAUCUGCUGGAACUUAACUGACGCUAAUGCGUGAAAGCGUGGNGAGCAAACAGGAUUAGAUACCCUGGUAGUNCACGCCCUAAACGAUGUAUACCGGUUGUUGCUGUGCUAGUCACGGCAGUAAUCCACCUAACGGAUUAAGUAUACCGCCUGGGGAGUACGGUCGCAAGAUUAAAACUCAAAGGAAUAGACGGGGACCCGCACAAGCGGUGGAGCAUGUGGUUUAAUUCGAAGAUACGCGAAGAACCUUACCCGGACUUGAUAUCUAACAAAUCAUCCAGAGAUGGAAGAGUGUCUGCUUGCAGAAAUGUUAAGACAGGUGCUGCACGGCUGUCGUCAGCUCGUGUCGUGAGAUGUUGGGUUAAGUCCCGCAACGAGCGCAACCCACGUCAUUAGUUGCUAACGGUUCGGCCGAGCACUCUAAUGAGACUGCCUUCGUAAGGAGGAGGAAGGUGUGGACGACGUCAAGUCAUCAUGGCCCUUAUGUCCGGGGCGACACACGUGCUACAAUGGCAUAUACAAUAAGACGCAAUAUCGCGAGAUGGAGCAAAUCUAAAAAAUAUGUCCCAGUUCGGAUUGGAGUCUGCAACUCGACUCCAUGAAGCCGGAAUCGCUAGUAAUCGUAGAUCAGCCAUGCUACGGUGAAUACGUUCCCGGGUCUUGUACUCACCGCCCGUCACACCAUGGGAGUUGAUUUCACUCGAAGCGGGAAUGCGAAAUUCGCUAC